rnacentral:lncRNA from 1 species
GGUAGUUCUUGUAAUAAAAAAAAUUGGAGGUUGAAUUUUAGCAAAACCUUCUAUCACAGGAAUAUAUGAUGCUAAAAUAGGUCCUACUCCAAACUAUUUUUUCAAAUCCUUAUCCUUCAGUGGAAGAGUCUUUAGAGCUUCAAAAAUAAAUAGCUGGGAUUGCCUAAGUUAAAUACACUCAUAUGACACUAAAUACUAAAGUUGAGAUGUAUUUAAUGAACAAGGCCUUGAAUAAUGAUCCUAGUAGUGCCUCUUUAAACUUUAUAGUUUUCAGAAAAACUGAAGAUUUGUUAUUAUCUCUUCUAUGGCUAGAGAGAUCAGCAUGUAUUUUUCUCUGUAAAACUUCUUUGAGACUAGAUGACCAGAGCUAAAGAAUAUUCAGAAUAGGAAAGCUUAUGAUAUUUCUUAUUAAUUAGCAUCCAAAUAUAGCACAAAUAUAUAUUGAAUCAAUAUAUCUUUAUUUGAACCAAGAGGGUAUUUGGUUGUAUUUCCAUUUGUUCUAUUAGAAGAUAUAAAAGGAAUUAGAAUAAAACUGUUUGGAAGAAACUUACUCAGAAAACAGUACAUUGUUUUACCCAGAAAGUUAUAACAAAGUAGACGACUUCAGAGUGGUAUAGAAGUCAUGAUCCUUUAAAAGAAAAUCUUUUAAAACUCACAGAUUAAUUUUAUUUGUUCAAGUUAUAAUUUAAAAUAAACAAUUUACAAGAGUGACAGGUUUAUUGCAUAUUUUAUUUUGUAGUCCUAAGUACCCCAUUUUGUAAUGCCAUUUAGACAUUCUUAAGUUAGAUAGGUACAUAAUUGUUUUGUAUUAAAAUACGC